GUGCUUGCUUCUGCCGCACAUAUACUAAAAUUGGAACGAUACAGAGAAGAUUAGCAUGGCCCCUGUGCAAGGAUAACAUGCAAAUUCAUGAAGGGUUCCAUAUUUUU
ensembl:snRNA U6 U6 spliceosomal RNA